rnacentral:sRNA from 1 species
UUCAGUUCCUCAUCGGCCGUAAAAGCCGUAA